CCCUUAGAUGUUCUGGGCUGCACACGUGCUACACUGGCAGGUUCAGCGAGCUUCAUGCCCUGAUCUGAAAGGAAUGGGAAAUCUUUUCAAAACCUGCCGUGCUUGGGAUAGAUGUUUGCAAUUAUUCAUCUUCAACGAGGAUUGCCUUGUAAGCGCACGUCAUCAGCGUGCAUUGAAUACGACCCUGUAUUCUGUACACACCGCCCGUCGCUCCUACCGAUUGAAGUUUUCGGUGAGUUGACAGGAGGAUUUUUUUGAAACUGGUUCGCCAGUGGAUUUUAGAUCCAAGUGCCAACGAAUCGAUGGCUUUAGAGGAAGGAGAAGUCGUAACA
rnacentral:rRNA from 1 species